rnacentral:rRNA from 1 species
AUCUAUGGCCGUGCUACCCUGAACACGCCUGAUCUCUUCUGAUCUUAGAAGCUAAGCAAGGUCAGGCCUGGUUAGUACUUGGAUGGGAGACCACCUAAGAAGACCAGGUGCUGUAGGCA